AACGAACGCUGGCGGCAGGCUUAACACAUGCAAGUCGAGCGCCCCGAAAGGGGAGCGGCAGACGGGUGAGUAACGCGUGGGAAUCUACCCAUCUCUACGGAAUAACGCAUGGAAACGUGUGCUAAUACCGUAUACGUCCUUCGGGAGAAAGAUUUAUCGAAGAUGGAUGAGCCCGCGUUGGAUUAGCUAGUUGGUGGGAUAAAGGCCUACCAAGGCGACGAUCCAUAGCUGGUCUGAGAGGAUGAUCAGCCACACUGGGACUGAGACACGGCCCAGACUCCUACGGGAGGCAGCAGUGGGGAAUAUUGGACAAUGGGCGCAAGCCUGAUCCAGCCAUGCCGCGUGAGUGAUGAAGGCCCUAGGGUUGUAAAGCUCUUUCACCGGUGAAGAUAAUGACGGUAACCGGAGAAGAAGCCCCGGCUAACUUCGUGCCAGCCGCCGCCGUAACAC
rnacentral:rRNA from 1 species